UGACUAAGCCAUGAAAAUGUCAUGUAUGC
rnacentral:piRNA from 1 species